rnacentral:rRNA from 1 species
UACAGAGGUGGCAAGCGUUGUUCGGAAUUACUGGGCGUAAAGGGCGAGUAGGCGCCUUCUAAGUCAGACGUGAAAUCCCCCGGCUUAACCUGGGAACUGCGUCUGAUACUGGGAGGCUUGAGUAUGGGAGAGGGAUGUAGAAUUCCAGGUGUAGCGGUGAAAUGCGUAGAUAUCAGGAAGAACACCGGUGGCGAAGGCGGCUCUCUGGGCCUUACCUGACGCUGAGGAGCGAAAGCGUGGGUAGCGAACAGG